GUGUAGGAUAGGUGGGAGGCAAUGAAGCGGAGACGCUAGUAACCGUGGAGCCAACCUUGAAAUACCACCCUUACCUUACUGGGGCUCUAACCUGUCCCCGUGAUCCGGGGAAGGGACACUGUCUGGUGGGUAGUUUGACUGGGGCGGUCGCCUCCCAAAGAGUAACGGAGGCGUCCAAAGGUCUCCUCAGGCUGGACGGAAACCAGCUGUUGAGUGCAAAGGCAUAAGGAGGCUUAACUGUGAGGCAGACAAGCCGAGCAGAUACGAAAGUAGGGCUUAGUGAUCCGGUGGUUCUGAAUGGAAGGGCCAUCGCUCAACGGAUAAAAGGUACGCCGGGGAUAACAGGCUUAUCGGGUCCAAGAGUUCACAUCGACGACCCGGUUUGGCACCUCGAUGUCGACUCAUCGCAUCCUGGAGCUGAAGCAGGUUCCAAGGGUUNNNNNNNNNNCGAGAGGACCGGGAUGGACAGACCUCUUGUGUUCCGGUUGUCAUGCCAGUGGCAAUGCCGGGUAGCUAUGUCUGGAAGGGAUAAACGCUGAAGGCAUCUAAGCGUGAAACCCACCCCAAGAUUAGGUCUCCCAGGGAGUAAUCCCUCUGAAGGUCUGUGGUAGACUACCACGUCGAUAGGCUGGAGGUGUAAGUGCAGUAAUGUAUUGAGCUGACCAGUACUAAUAGACCGUGCGACUUGACC
rnacentral:rRNA from 1 species